UACGUAGGGGGCAAGCGUUGUCCGGAAUCAUUGGGCGUAAAGCGCGCGUAGGCGGCCCUGUAAGUCCGCUGUAAAAGUCAAAGGCUCAACCUUUGAAAGCCGGUGGAUACUGCAGGGCUAGAGUCCGGAAGAGGCGAGUGGAAUUCCUGGUGUAGCGGUGGAAUGCGUAGAUAUCGUAAGGAAGACCAGUGGCGAAGGCGGGUCUCUGGGCCGAAACUGACGCUGAGGAGCGAAAGCGUGGGUAGCAAACAGG
rnacentral:rRNA from 1 species